UGUAAAGGACCUCACUUUAGUUAGUAAGGUGCGUGUAAGGAGCUGGGAGCAAGGAGUUGAGAGGAUGAGGACAUGCUGCUGGAGGAUUGAGGAGUACAAAAGCUAUCUGGCAUCAGGAAGAAGGUCCUGUGGAUGCUGCGAGGAAGAUGGAAAAACUCCCCAAGCCUCUGCCAGUUUGGCCCCUGUGAGAAGAAAAACUUCCUGACCCCAAAACAAGUGAUCGGUCUUACUGAGACUUUAACCUAAACUGAGAGUUAAGACAAACUCAAAGAAAAUUGGUUUUAUAAAGAGUGGUUCCUCCUGGUCAUGUUUGAGAUGCAUCAUGGGAUAGGGAAGAGAAGUCUGAAGUGCUGCUGUUCAUGCUGUACCUGUACUGUGAAAAAAAGGAGGACUUCACUCUCCAGCCCUCUCUUUCAGGAACCUGCCUUGUUUGCUUUUAUGAUGAGUUGACACUGAUCCAUGCUUUACUGUACAGAAGAAUACAGCCAGAAAUGAAGCCAUACCUGGAAAGUUUCUUCUUUGAUUCAAAGCAUUGGAUAACAAUAUAGUUUCCAUAUGUUAAUAUUAGCUUCACCAACUAUCUUUUACUUCUGUGUCUCACUGUUACAUUUAGUUAGAAGAUAGCAUCACAAUGCUAAACAAAGAAUAGAUUGGCAGUGUUUGGUAAGAAGCUGAGCUGUAUAUGUGAAAUUCAAGGGGUGGGAGGUAUGGAGAAAAGGAAUAUAAUGUUGUGCUGUUAAAAAUAAACCACGU